rnacentral:rRNA from 1 species
GGGGAAUUUUCCGCAAUGGGCGAAAGCCUGACGGAGCAAUACCGCGUGAGGGAGGAAGGCUCUUGGGUUGUAAACCUCUUUUCUCAGGGAAGAACAAAAUGACGGUACCUGAGGAAUCAGCAUCGGCUAACUCCGUGCCAGCAGCCGCGGUAAUACGGAGGAUGCAAGCGUUAUCCGGAAUGAUUGGGCGUAAAGCGUCCGCAGGUGGCUUAUCAAGUCGAUUGUCAAAGGUCCUGGCUCAACUGGGAACAGGCAGUGGAAACUGAAAAGCUAGAGUGCGGUAGGGGUAGAGGGAAUUCCCGGUGUAGCGGUGAAAUGCGUAGAGAUCGGGAAGAACACCAGUGGCGAAAGCGCUCUACUAGGCCUGCACUGACACUCAUGGACGAAAGCUAGGGGAGCGAAUGGGAUUAGAUACCCCAG